rnacentral:rRNA from 1 species
AAGCCAGUGGUGAACUCCACAUACGCAUCCUUUGCUGAGGAUACGGUUAACGGAGCGAAAGCGACGUUCAACCUCAAAAGAAGCAGAGGGGGCUUAGUGGUGGGGUGACUGCGUACCUUUUGUAUAAUGGGUCAGCGACUUAUAUUCUGUAGCAAGGUUAACCGUAUAGGGGAGCCGGAGGGAAACCGAGUCUUAAUUGGGCGUUAAGUUGCAGGGUAUAGACCCGAAACCCGGUGAUCUAGCCAUGGGCAGGUUGAAGGUUGGGUAACACUAACUGGAGGACCGAACCGACUAAUGUUGAAAAAUUAGCGGAUGACCUGUGGCUGGGGGUGAAAGGCCAAUCAAACCGGGAGAUAGCUGGUUCUCCCCGAAAGCUAUUUAGGUAGCGCCUCGUGAAUUCAUCUCCGGGGGUAGAGCACUGUUUCGGCUAGGGGGCCAUCCCGGCUUACCAACCCGAUGCAAACUGCGAAUACCGGAGAAUGUUAUCACGGGAGACACACGGCGGGUGCUAACGUCCGUCGUGAAGAGGGAAACAACCCAGACCGCCAGCUAAGGUCCCAAAGUCAUGGUUAAGUGGGAAACGAUGUGGGAAGGCCCAGACAGCCAGGAUGUUGGCUUAGAAGCAGCCAUCAUUUAAAGAAAGCGUAAUAGCUCACUGGUCGAGUCGGCCUGCGCGGAAGAUGUAACGGGGCUAAACCAUGCACCGAAGCUGCGGCAGCGAACGUAUCACUUAAAGCGAUUCAGCGGGUUACGAUUGACGGAGCGAAGCGACGUCAAAGCGUAUACAAAGUCGAGUCGGUUUAAGGAUACGUUCGUUGGGUAGGGGAGCGUUCUGUAAGCCUGUGAAGGUGGCCUGUGAGGG